AUUGAACGCUGGCGGCAGGCCUAACACAUGCAAGUCGAACGGUAACAGGAAGAAGCUUGCUUCUUUGCUGACGAGUGGCGGACGGGUGAGUAAUGUCUGGGAAACUGCCUGAUGGAGGGGGAUAACUACUGGAAACGGUAGCUAAUACCGCAUAACUUCGCAAGACCAAAGAGGGGGGCCUUCGGGCCUCUUUCCAGCGGGUGUGCCCAGAUGGGAUUAGCUUGUAGGUGGGGUAACGUCUCAACUAGGCGACGAUCCCUAGGUGGUCUGAGAGGAUGACCAGCCACACUGGAACUGAGCCACGGUCCAGACUCCUACGGGAGGCAGCAGUGGGGAAUAUUGCACAAUGGGCGCAAGCCUGAUGCAGCCAUGCCGAGUGUAUGAAGAAGGCCUUCGGGUUGUAAAGUACUUUCAGCGGGGAGGAAGGGAGUAAAGUUAAUACCUUUGCUCAUUGACGUUACCCGCAGAAGAAGCACCGGCUAACUCCGUG
rnacentral:rRNA from 1 species